GACGAACGCUGGCGGCGUGCUUAACACAUGCAAGUCGAACGGAAAGGCCCUGCUUUUGUGGGGUGCUCGAGUGGCGAACGGGUGAGUAACACGUGAGUAACCUGCCCUUGACUUUGGGAUAACUUCAGGAAACUGGGGCUAAUACCGGAUAGGAGCUCCUGCUGCAUGGUGGGGGUUGGAAAGUUUCGGCGGUUGGGGAUGGACUCGCGGCUUAUCAGCUUGUUGGUGGGGUAGUGGCUUACCAAGGCUUUGACGGGUAGCCGGCCUGAGAGGGUGACCGGCCACAUUGGUACUGAGCUACGGCCCAGACUCCUACGGGAGGCAGCAGUGGGGAAUAUUGCACAAUGGGCGGAAGCCUGAUGCAGCAACGCCGCGUGCGGGAUGACGGCCUUCGGGUUGUAAACCGCUUUCGCCUGUGACGAAGCGUGAGUGACGGUAAUGGGUAAAGAAGCACCGGCUAACUACGUG
rnacentral:rRNA from 1 species